rnacentral:rRNA from 1 species
UACGAAGGGGGCUAGCGUUGUUCGGAUUUACUGGGCGUAAAGCGCACGUAGGCGGAUUGGUCAGUUAGGGGUGAAAUCCUGGAGCUCAACUCCAGAACUGCCUUUAAUACUGCCAGUCUCGAGUCCGGAAGAGGUAAGUGGAACUCCUAGUGUAGAGGUGGAAUUCGUAGAUAUUAGGAAGAACACCAGUGGCGAAGGCGGCUCACUGGUCCGGUACUGACGCUGAGGUGCGAAAGCGUGGGGAGCAAACAGGG